GAAAAGAAAAACAAAAACCAUAGGUGAAGAAUUUCAAGAGAAAAGUGUGGGAAAUUCAAGGAAAUAAGUGACAAAAGGUAAAAUUUCUUGAUUUUGACUUGUGAUCUACCUUUUCCAUGCAUUUCUCCUCAUUUUCUAUGGUUAAAUUACAUGUUUUUAUGAUGAAUUCAUGGCUGGUCGAAAUGGGUAUGGAGAGAGAAUAAUGUUAGAUUGAUUUGAUUCUAAAUUAUGUUAGUGUUUUUAGUUAGUUUACCAUGUCUAGAAACAAAACAACAAGAAAAAAGUUCAUAUUCCCCACCACUCAUCAAUUGCCGAACCUACCUUGUGUUGAGUGAGGAUGAAUUUGAUUUUUAUUUUAAGAGAAUUGGUUAGAAAAUGAUGAAUUAUGGUGUGAAAAAGUAGUAGAAAAAAUCAUGGUGUUAAUGCACCAUUAUUGACCAAAAAUUCUAAGAAGAAAAGUGAAGAUAGUUUUGCCAAAUUUUAGGUUAUUUGACUUGAGUUUGGUGAAUUAAGAUAUUGGAAAAGAAAUGGAGCAAUUUGGAGCUAAAUUGGACGCGUUGGCCAAUUAAUCGGAUGAUAAGACGAAUUAGGCCAAUACCGAAUUUAGAUGGGUACUCGUGCAUUUUGUAUUCCAUAUCAUGCAUUAGUAGUUUAAAUUAAUUUAAAUUCAAUUUAGUACCAAUGAAGUAAGUUUCUCGAUUUUGUACUGUGUUAAGGUGGUGAGUCCUCCGAUAAAGGUAAGGAAAUUGCACUUGAGGACCAAUAGUCUGAGUACUUCAAAAAUCCCCACUCUAGACAUCGUGAGUAACAUUAUCAUUUUAGGUUUUAUAAACAAAAAUGUGUUUAAAUGAAAAGAUUUUAUAAAUUGUCUUGAAACGAAAUAACGAUUUUGAAAAUAGAGUAAUUGGAGACCACCGGUAUAUUGUAAAUUUAUGAUUGGAAAUUGAUGGCUUAUGUUAUAUUGUUAUUGUGUUGGCAUUGUGUUGGCAUGACUGGCUGGGCUGUGUUUUAUGAAUUGUAUGAAUUGUUUUAUUUUACCCUUGCAGGCUGGAUAGUAAAAUAUUAGCCUUGUCAUGCUGUUAAAAUUUUAUUAUAUGGAGGGUUUAGCUUGUUGCAAUAGGCGAAUUUUGUGGACCAGCCUAUUAGAGGGACACAGAAUUCGGAUAUAGAUAUAUGUACCUCGAUCGAAAAGGCGUGUAGGGUAUCUCCUGAGGUAUGGUUAGAGUUUACGUCAAGCCAAACAACCUCGUGAUGAUGAACUCAAUUAAUGCCAAGGAACGGUUGUGUUUUUCAAACUAAUAAUUUGUUUGCGUGUAUACGAAAUUUUUAAUAGCCUUGGUAGACUCGGUUAGAUGCCUCGGCCAAGGUAUCCCCGAGAAUGAUUUUGGCAGGAGCCAAGCUUUUAAAAUACUCAUAAGCCAUGUUGAUUAUUUAAAUGAAAUGAGUAUUUAUGUUAUGAAAAACAUAUUUAGAUGAAAUGUUUUAAUAGUCUCCUUUUACUCGACUUUAGAUAUUUUAAAUGAUGUUUGUUUACUCGCUGGGAUUUUAUAAUCUCACCACUCUCCUUUCCCUCCAUUUCAGGCUUAGAAUAGAUUGUAGAUAGCUGAUCUCAUCGAGGACUACCAUUGGACUUGCAUUUUCCAAACUGUAGGUUCACAAUCCUCUUUACUUUUGUUUAUUCGGGGGCCCACUUGUUAUUGUAAAUUAAAUUAAAU
rnacentral:lncRNA from 1 species